GAUGAACGCUGGCGGCGUGCCUAAUACAUGCAAGUCGAGCGAACAGACGAGGAGCUUGCUCCUCUGACGUUAGCGGCGGACGGGUGAGUAACACGUGGUUAACCUACCUAUAAGACUGGGAUAACUUCGGGAAACCGGAGCUAAUACCGGAUAAUAUAUUGAACCUCAUUGUUCAAUAGUUAAAGACGGUUUUGCUGUCACUUAUAGAUGGAUCCGCGCCGCAUUAGCUAGUUGGUAAGGUAACGGCUUACCAAGGCAACGAGGCGUAACCGACCUGAGAGGGUGGUCGGACACACGGGAACUGAGAAAGGGUCCAGACACCUACGGGAGGCAGCAGUAGGGAAUCUUCCGCGAUGGGCGAAAGCCUGACGGAGCAAAGCCGCGUGAGGGAUGAAGGUCUUAGGAUCGGAAAACGCUGUUAGUAGGGAAGAACAAAUGUGUAAGUAACUAUGCACGUCUUGACGGUACCUAAUCAGAAAGCCACGGCUAACUACGUG
rnacentral:rRNA from 1 species